rnacentral:rRNA from 1 species
UAGGGAAUAUUGCACAAUGGGCGCAAGCCUGAUGCAGCAACGCCGCGUGAACGAUGAAGGUCUUCGGAUCGUAAAGUUCUGUUGCAGGGGAAGAUAAUGACGGUACCCUGUGAGGAAGCCCCGGCUAACUACGUGCCAGCAGCCGCGGUAAUACGUAGGGGGCUAGCGUUAUCCGGAUUUACUGGGCGUAAAGGGUGCGUAGGUGGUCUUUCAAGUCGGUGGUUAAAGGCUACGGCUCAACCGUAGUUAGCCUCCGAAACUGGAAGACUUGAGUGCAGGAGAGGAAAGUGGAAUUCCCAGUGUAGCGGUGAAAUGCGUAGAUAUUGGGAGGAACACCAGUAGCGAAGGCGGCUUUCUGGACUGCAACUGACACUGAGGCACGAAAGCGUGGGUAGCAAACAGG